rnacentral:tRNA from 2 species
GGGCGAAUGGUUUAGUGGUAUAAUACUCCCUUAGCAUGGGAGUGGUCCAGGGUUCGAUUCCCUGUUUGUCCA